rnacentral:rRNA from 1 species
CCUACGGGAGGCAGCAGUGGGGGAUAUUGCACAAUGGGGGGAACCCUGAUGCAGCGACGCCGCGUGGGUGAAGAAGCGCCUCGGCGCGUAAAGCCCUGUCAGCAGGGAAGAAAAUGACGGUACCUGAAGAAGAAGCCACGGCUAACUACGUGCCAGCAGCCGCGGUAAUACGUAGGGGGCAAGCGUUAUCCGGAUUUACUGGGUGUAACGGGGGCGCAGACGGUGAUGCAAGCCAGGAGUGAAAGCCCGGGGCCCAACCCCGGGACUGCUCUUGGAACUGCGUGGCUGGAGUGCAGGAGGGGCAGGCGGAAUUCCUGGUGUAGCGGUGAAAUGCGUAGAUAUCAGGAGGAACACCGGUGGCGAAGGCAGCCUGCUGGACUGCAACUGACGUUGAGGCCCGAAAGCGUGGGGAGCAAACAGGAUUAGAUACCCCUGUAGUC